rnacentral:lncRNA from 1 species
GUGCCGGGAGUGGACCCGCACACCUUCCCCGGGAUCCCCGGGCACGGCGGUGGCAUCACACCCGUGCCGUCCGGCGGCACGACGCCGUCCCACGGCAGCGGGUACGUGCCGACUCCGUCCCACGGCGGGGGCACCGGUGGGGCGCUGCCUUCCCCGUCCCACGGGGGCACAGGCGGGGCGCUGCCUUCCCCGUCCCACGGGGGCACCGGUGGGGAGCUGCCUUCCCCGUCCCACGGCGGCUCCGGGUCGUCGCCUUCAACUGGCGGAGGCUAUGGCGGCUCUCCGUCCACCCCGUCCCACGGUGGCUCCGGGUCGUCGCCAUCCACUGGUGGAGGGUACGGUAGCUCUCCGUCGACCCCGUCCCACGGCGGCGGCGGGUACGGAUCUUCCCCGUCCACCGGCGGCGGGUACGGCGGUUCCCCUUCGACGCCCAGCGGCGGCGCCUACGGUGGCGGUUCCCCCUCGCCAUCCCACGGAGGAGGCGCCUACGGGGGCAGCUCUUCCCCCACGCCGUCGUACGGUGGCUCCCCGUCGCACGGCGGCAUCGGGACCUCGUCGCCGACGCCGUUCCUCCCCGUCGACCCCCACAGCCUCGGCUCCCUCCCCGGCUCAUGCGAGUAAGCCACUAACACCAUGUCACCAUGCAUGCAUGCAUGCAUGCAGUCACUGACACGCGGGCCCCUCUCUCGUUUUCCUGCCACCAGCUACUGGCGGUCCCACCCGAUGGAGAUCUGGUCGGCGCUGGGCGGGCGGUUCCCGAGCUCGAUGGGCCACUUCUUCGGCGGCGCGGGUGGCCUCGGCGGCGCGGGCGGCCUCGGCGGCGCCGCCGACCUGAGCAUCCAGGACGCGCUGGCCAACACCCGGUCCGACGGCGCGGGCGCGCUGCUGCGCGAGGGCGCCGCCGCGCUGCUCAACUCCAUGACCCGCGCGGGCUUCCCCUACACCACGGAGCAGGUCCGCGACGCGUUCGGGGCCGCGGCGGCCGGCGGCUCCGACAGCGCCGCAGCGGCGCAGGCGGCGGCGUUCAAGAAGGCCAACGAGGGCAAGGCGUAGAGCUAGGCAGGGGGUGUCGCGACGUGCGUGUCGUUGGAAUGUGUUUAAGACGUGGUGAACUAGCUGGAAGUAUUUGUUGGGCGUUGUUGAGUUGAUGGUUACGUUGGUUGUGUCCGAGUCAUCGAGCACAAACUUAGUGGUGUACUCGUUCGUGUUAUUUUGCUGUGUUUUUCGUGUGGAUCUCGGUGGAUGAAUGAAGCAAAACUACUACUGUCCUAGUUGGGUUCCAAAGUCUCGUACUGCGAAUUCCUGAUGCAGGCAACAAAGCUAGUUUUAGGAAUUAGGAGUGUUUCUUUUGUGCUGUGAAUCUUUACGUGUGUGUUAGGCUGUUGAUACAUCAUGAUGUUGCAUGUAAUCGUGCUGUUCAUAAGAUAAGAUAAGAUAGGGACACGUCGUUGACGAGCAUGGGUCAUGGGCGUACAGUACAGACUACAUAGUACGGACUGGCAUGCAGUGGAGUAUUAAUCGGUUCACGAGGGCCAUGUUUAGUUACUCCCAACUCCCAACUUUGACACUAUGCAAAAAGAAGAUUCCCCAUCACAUCAAACUUGCGGUACAUGCAUGGAGUACUAAAUGUAGAUGAAAUUAAAAACUAAUUGCACAGUUUUGUUGUAUUUUGCGAGACGAAUCUUUUGAGCCUAAUUAGUCAAUAUUUGGACAAUAAUUCACAAAUACAAACGAAACGCUACAGUGUGCUACAGUGCUGUAACAGUAAUUUGGCACCUCCCAAAUUCCCCAACUAAACAAGGCCGAGAUUUUCACCAUCUCCGUACGUCAUGUCAGUGCAACUGUGCGAGACGCAUCUACCGUAUGUGAAGCACAUUAAUGGGGGUGAGUAACUAUGCAAAGGACACGCACAAAAUGGUACCGUAUACUGCAAGAGACUGCUAGUAGGCUACAUGCUUCGACCUAGCAAACAGCAUGGGCGAUGGAGCCAUGUAAAAACCAACCACAUUCAUUUGUUUUAUGGAGGGUCGCCUGCAAGUAUGUAGCACAUUUUCAUCAGGGAAGAAGGAAGACUGAUGUGCAACACAUGUUUUAGUUCCUUUUAUUGUAAAGUAAGAUUGUCGAGAGAGGAAGACCAGUGAUGAUCUUCUUGUUGUUUUCUUCUGUAUAUAGUUCUUUCGAGGAAGACUUCUUUGGUACAGAAAUACUGUUUCUUUGAGGAUUUCUUAUGUACUGUUAGCAAGGAGGGGGGAGCCGAGUUUUUUUUUCUUUUUAAAAGAAAAAAGUGAGAAGGAGAGCUAGGUAGAUCAGCUUGAUUCUGUUGCAGCAGGCCAUGUCUCGCAACUGAAUCUGGGCUCGCAGAUUAUGCACAGUAAUAAUAGUAGUAGGCCUGGUCCAUAAUAUUUUGGACCAGCUGAGGAGCACUAUCAAACGGCCCGCAGUGUGCGGUUCGUGUGGCCGGCCCGUGCGGGAACGGAACACUGUGGGCCGAGCCCUGGGUUUCGUGUGCCGCUGCAUAUGGCCUACGAGAUCUGCGGCCCAUUCCCUCUCAAAAUAAAAAAAGAUGGGAAGUGCUAACGCUUUCGAUAAUUUUAUUUUAUCGGACGCUCCGUCACAACAUUGAAAAAUAACUAUCGAAACAUCAAAAAUCAACACUUGCAACAUCGAGGAUUGCAACACCUUUACGUGUAUGAAACAUCCCGAAUUGCUUCGUGCAACAUUCAAAAUAGGCACAUUGCAACAACAAAAAAAACAUCUCUUACAACAUUGCAACAACGAAAGAAGAAGAGACGAAACAAAGAAAAUAACUAUAUGCAAUAUCAUGAACAAGUUGGUGCAACACCCGAUUGCUAGCAAGUCAGACUGUUGCAAAACAGAUGAAACAUCAAAAGCCACCGUUGCAACAUCCAAAAAUAACUAUUGCAACACCAUGAGGUACCUAUUGCAACACUCAGAUCCACGACAACCAGCCUGUUGCCGAAGGUCGUCCAUCAUGGCCGUUGCCCGAUCCUUCACCGCUCGGAUCUCGCCGGGGUCGGGGAGAGGGCCACCGGAGCCGGUGCAAAACAGAUGAAACAUCAAAAGCUACUGUUGCAACAUCCAAAAAUAACUAUUGCAACACUCAGAUCCACGACAACCAGCCUGCCGCCGAAGGUCGUCCACCAUGGCCGCCGCUCGAUCCUUCCCCGCUCGGAUCUCGUCGGGGUCGGGGAGAGGGCCACCGGAUCCGGAGCGUUGGGUGCUCCCGGUUGGUUGAGGAUGCCGGAGUGGGGGGAGAGGCGCCGCCAGGGUAGGGGACGAGGUUCCCGGAGUGGAGGAGCGCGCCGCCGCCGGGGUGGAUGAGGAGGACGCCAUGGUGGGGGAGCGUGCCGCCGUUGGGGUGGGGGACGAGGCCACCGGGGUGCGGGACGAGCCUGCUGGGGUUGGGGAGCGUGCUGCCGUCGAGAUGGAUGAGGAAUACGUCGGGAUGAAAGAUUAAAGAAGAAAGGGAAUGGGAAAGAAAAAAGCGGUAGAAACAGAUAAGAACAGAAGCGGUGGGAGCGUCCGUCCGACGGACCUGACGGUAGCGUUUCCGAAAAAAGAUCUGCGGCCGCCGCCCGAGCCGCAAGCCCGCAACGCUUGCCGCACGCCGGCGCCGAGGUCACUUCGCCGCCUACCGCCGCAGGCUCUGCCCUUCUCGACUCCGGUGGCAAGGAGCUGCACAUUCUUCUCCUAGCACUGCAGAUAUCCCCCUUUUUUUAUAGAUAGAUGAGAUCACUGCAGAUACAUACAUGCAUGAGUACCCCGGCCCUAUCCCUCGAUAGAAAUCACUGCCCGUGGUCUGAAAUAACAUCCCUCCUCCUUUUCGGAUGCAAAUUCCUCGGCUGACCUUGUAGACUUGUAGUCCAUGACAGAUUAUGGACCUCCAGACCAUCUACAACGUCAUGGACUACCUACACUAUAUAUGGGAAUUGUUUGCUCUGUGACCAAGAGCAAAUUAAGAAAUUAAAACUGUAACCCAUCCCUGUUGGGCUGUUCCGUUGGCUUCUGUACGUACAGAGAAGAUCAGCUGUAGCAAUUAGUUGUUGCUUUCUUUCUUCGUUUUGUUUUUGUGCCGGUGGCUUUGCAGUUUGUACUACUCCGAUAGGCACUAUCUUUCUCUCUCUCUCUCUCACUUAGCUAGUGCAAUGCACGAUCUCGAGAAUCAAAAAACCGAGUAACACUAUGCACGCAUCAGAUUAACAGAAAAUUAAAAGAAGCACAUUAAGUGGACACAACUUAUUAUGUUAUACAACACAUACAGAGUAUAUUAAAGCGUUUGAUACGCCACAUGUACUAUAUAGAUACACAGCAGUUCGAUUAAUUGACACGAACAUAUGCAUACUGCUGGCAGCAGGUCUCCUGCAUGCGUUCCAUCGACGAGUCACGAUUAUUAGUUCCACAAACGUAAAUAAAGUUUACUUUGAUCUCGGUUGGACACAUGAUAACAGCAGCGCGCGUGCGUCGACACCGGCGCCUUCGGGUAGUUAAUUUCAUCUGCAACACAGCACGAUGUAUUUACUGAAUUAAGAUACAAGAAAAUAUGUGGUUACUAUAGGGUAAAAACUUUGAUAUCCUGUUGCUAGUACAAUUAUGCUAUCAGCAUCAGGCGUAUAUCGAUCGAUAUAGAAUCAAAAGUUUAUGAAAAGCACUCUUCUAUGAUCUCCAACUGCAUGAUUAAGCACGUUCUACUGGUAUUCUCGAAAACAGGUAUGAACAUACAGUACAUUACGGUGAGAAAUAAAAAUGAGAGCUGUGUGUAGCUAGUAUACCCGAGCUGAAGGGUUGUUGGUUGCAGCUGAUGGGAGUAAUGCUGAGGCUGCUGCAUAAUGUUCACUUGAUGAAAGUUUCUCGAGUCGUACGGGGCCAUGUGAUCAUAUUCGCUUGUUGAUGGCGCUCCCAUCAUGUUCAUGGGCGGCUGUCCCCUUUCGUUGUUCUCAGCGACCUGCAGCACGCGGCAGAAAUCGCUUAAAAUUCAGUGAUCAGUCAGCUUAAAAGAUCAGGGCCUUGGAACUUUUGCUCAGAUGAACAAGUGCUACUACUGUAUUUACCUUGCUCCUCAAGUACAUGUUGUCACUCUGUAGAUCCAUCUCCUGGAAACAAAACGAGCGCCACAUGUAAUUUGGAGCUAGCAGAAAAAAAGGUACUACUGCAAGCGGGGAUUGCUGAAUACUAACCCUUUUCUGCAUGUACUCAACUUCAGCGUAUAACAGCUCAUUCUGCAAGAAAGGCAUUGCUCAUUUCAUCAGCAGAAAUUCAAAACUUAUUACAUAAGGCUAUUUGUUCCCCAUAUGCAUUGGUCAACCGAGGCAUUUAUAUUUCUGCUCUCUUCCCAAGUUCCAUGCAUAUAUAGGCCUGUUUUAAGUAGGCGAGACUGCUCUUAUUGGAAUUUUUGGGAUAUAAUUUAUGUUCUCAUAAAUUCUCCUAAUGCAUCAUUCAAAGUUUCAAACAGGGGAUGUAUAUGUAUAUGAUGUAUCUACAUAUACCACAAAUGCUGCAUGUACAUACCUUUCUAGCUCUAAUCUUGCAUAUUCCUUUCUCCAGCCUGCCCUCCAGCUGCUUAAGAUCCCUGAGGCUCAUGGUGUGAAUUGCAUCACCCAUUAUGGUCCUACUAGAUAAUUAAAUAAGUUAGACAACAUAUAAUAUUCCUUUUGUUAAUUACGUUAAAAAAUAAAUGGAUACAUGAAUAUUGCAUUUACAGAUUUUUUUUCAACAAAUCAUUUGUUUCCAUAUGCGUUCUACUCUGUUUGCAUUUACAGAUUAUGGUCUAAUUUGAAAGCUAUUAUUACCUGUUUGAGUUUUGCAAGCUACUGAUAGUCCCGCGCAGCUUGGCGGACUCCUGCUGGUAAUGCUGCAAGUUCAUAGCUAGUAUGAAUGCACUGAGUAAACAAAGCUUAUGCUAAUUGCCACAUAUAUAUCACUGGCCUUACAAAGACAGUAGUGUAAAAAUCAGUGUCACUACGGAAUAUUUAGGCCUGUUUGAAAUGGCAUGCAGGAAUUAUUCAUGAUGUACUACAAGCUGACCUGAACUAAAAUCAAUAAGAUGGCUCCACAGGUAAGGUCCAAAUGGUUUCUGAAUUCUACUUUAGAUUUAAAUUAUGAAUAUAUCUAAGCUGAAUAUCUAUGUCAAUGCAAUUAUUAGCAAGUAUAAAGAGCGCUGCAGUCUGAGGCUCUGAGCUGCAUACAUGCAAAGGAAACUUCCAGAAACCGUAUGAUCGUAUGAGAUUUUACUAUGUGCUUGUCCACGUCCAUAAAUUCAGAUACUACCACUAUCAUCGGAUGGCCAUGGAUCAGUCUUAUUUUUCUUUUAUUAAGCAGUUUUAAUAGCACAUUAGCAUUUCAUGUGGACUUGUGGAGUCAGCAAAAUUAACCUUCAUAGACUGCUAGAGUUGGAAACAGGUAAAACUGAUGGUGGUAUUGUAUCUAAUACCAGGUCAAAAUUCAGUGUAUUGACAUUGCAUAAUAAUCAAUCGGUGGCACAGCUUAGUGUAUAUUUUAUAAAAAGUGGUGUGCUUAAAUCAGUGUGUACGAGUGAUUAGAAAAAUUGACACUGACACUGACUAUCCUCGAUUCUCUGCUAAUAAUGUGCACACAUUUUGUUUGUUUUGGGUUUCGCUAAGAUUUCUCCAUCCCCAUGGUUCCUAGCAUAAAAUUUUGGGGCAUCGAUCCAAAAGACAAUCCUAGUAUGAUCCACUGGACUGAACAGAGGAUCCUGAGAGUGGAUAGUACACUUCUUCAGUGUAAUACCCAUGUGUGAUAUGAUGUCCGUACUUCCCUGCUCCGAAUUUCUUGUCUGAAGAUCUUGCUCAGAGACAUCUGGUUUUCUCUCGAAGAGCAGUAAGGAGGAAUGUUGACCAUGCUUGUAUUCAAGGAUAUCUCUCUCCUAGCUAGCCAAGCUAUAUUCUGAACUGACUACUCCACUCGCAUCAAGGGAACCAAUUCAGAAAAGAUUGACACGAUUUUACCUGGGCAUUGACUUCUGCAACCGUGCCAGAGUUGGAGGUGUCGCUGUUAGCCUUCUUGUACCUCUCAAUGGUGGCCUUCACACUGCAAAGUUGUCAACUGUUGGAGUUAGUACACACUCUCUUUUUGAAGAAAAUUUUAUAGUCACUAGGUAUUAUAAUCACAUGUACACAAGCAACUAACUGCUUAAUAAGAACAAUAUAAUCAUAAAAUUACUCAAAAUCAUACACAUUUUCUUUAUACCGCUGAUCAAAUUAGUUGCCCAAAGGGCCGGGUUCACUAUCUUCACACUGUGUGACACUACUGAAAGGGCCAAGAAGAACCGUAGGCAGGAUGCACACUCAGACGCUCUGCAGGUUCUCUAUGAAUUCAUCAGAGAGUAAAAGGCGAAGCAACCCAUACAAUCCAAGCAAGAGACCGAACAGUAGAAUACAGCAUCGUAUAACACAUUGGUCCGAAGCCUGUGCUCGCACAGCUCACAGGUCAUCUUUUAUGAGCCAUGCAAGCCUGUCUGCAACAGUGGUUUUCUCUUUACCGAGAAUCUUUUGCCUCUGGACUUCAGAGCUUCUCUAUGGUACAGUGCCACCCGACAUGCUACAGUAUUCACACCAUCAAUUAACGAGUGGCUAGUGGCUACAGAUUGCUAAUAUAAUCUAUUUUCAUAAUCUUCUAAAGAAGUACUCCCUCCAUCCUAAAUUAUAGAUCGUUUUGACAUUUCGAGAUUUAUAGAUAUUAUUAUGCAUCUGGAUAUAGGAUAUAUCUAAGUGUAUAAUAAAGUCUAUAAAUCUAAUAAAGCUAAAACAACUUAUAAUUUGGAACGAAGGGAGUAGAAAAUAAGGCAAGUAUAAAUAAUAUUUCUGUGAAGUUUCACCCCGGCCUCAGCCGAAGGUCCUGCUAAUGGAAAAACGACAACAGGAAGGUGAAGACUACAAGCUGAAAAAGUAACAGAGUGCGUGGAAACACUGGAUACACAUAUGCCACGUGCUGUAAAUGCAGCAAAACGAACAAUUGGAUUGAAACUAUUAUUUAGUAAGAAUAGAUCCAUAUAUGCGCGGCUUUGAGAAAGCCAUAUUCACUCGUCCAUCUCGAGAAUCAUAUGGACGUUCUCAUCGUAUUCGAGAACGAACGGUGAGUAUAUUACAAUUUUCUCUAAAUGGAAAAUUCAGAGAAGGUUGAUAUUUAUCAAUUUAAGUUUCCUUUUAGUGUACUUCAGACAUCCUUUCAGAGCUUAACAUCCCAAGGAUGACAGAGAGAAACUGGAAUUGGAUUCUUGAAACAUAGAUUUGACAAAAAAAAAGGAAUUUUGGACUUAAAAUAUGAUAUUUUCUUGAACAAAACAAGGCACGUAUUUUUUCUGUGAUAAAAAAACAACCAUUAGCUUUAAGGAGCAGAACACUUUUUUAUACAGAGAAUGCAACUUAAAUCAAAACAUAUUGGAGAAAACAUAUUUUCUUUUUAACUGAAGAAUAAUAAUGCCACCAAAUUCAAAUUUAUUAAUAGAACUUGAAAUUGUAAGUGCAGUGGUAGGUCUGCACACUAACAAUCUUUAUCAAUUAAACAAGGAUUAGUUCCCCUGGAGAGUUGAAACUCCAAAACAUUUUUCAAGCAAAUUCUUAGAAACAUACUAGUCAAUACCCCAGCUAAUCUUUUCAAGCAAAAUUAACUCCGCUAGCUGUUAUUCGCUCCAGAAACUAACACUUGAUUAUUAUUUUUUACAUUUGGUUGGUAAUAGACCAAUAUGAAAUCAAAAUUAAGAUGAUGUGAGAAAAAUGAAGAUGGCCCACCAAAAUUAAAGAAUGAACCUAACAACAAGCUUAAGUAUAUACCAGGGGCAAGAAAAGCACUUCCCUAACAUACAAACAGAAUACACAGAUGCAGUAAGCUAGUAUUCUAGGUAGGUAGUGAUCAUUGGGUACCAAACGUAUCCCAGAAAAUUCUCAGAGAAGAUUUUUUUUCAGAGAUCUCUUUUGUUCUUGCUACUGGAAAUUUACUAGCUACUCCUUGCAUACUCCUCACCAACUUCAAGCCCUUUUAUCCACACAAAAUAAUAUGCACAAUGCCGCAUAAAAUACACAACAAAUAAGCGAUGAAACAAAAUUGCUAUAUAUGGAUCAGAGACCCCCUCCCCCUAAAUGACCAUAACAUGGAGGUGCAUUAAUUGGCAAAUCAAGAUUUGAGCAGCACGUCACAUCACAAGGAGGCCCUUCUCCAAUGCAAAGGACCAUCAGCAGCUACUGCAAUGCAAAACGCUCACAUCCCUCUCAGCAGGCUCCUCGACAAAUGACCAAAGAAAUGAAACCUUAGCAUCCUCGAGUACCCUGUCCGGUGGGUGGCCAGUGUUGCUCAGCGGCUGGCACAGGAUUUCACAUGAUUGGGUUGGAACAGUGAGCAUGUUUUACCCAAUGGGUAAAGGAGUGCAGCAAGCCAGCAACACACAUCAACACAAGAGAUCACUCCUCGGCCCUUGGCUUUUACCCAGGCCUUAACCACUCUGACCAAGCUACCAGCUUUCUUUACUCCUCGUGCAGUCUCCCCAUGCAAGACGAUGCAGGCCCAGUGGCAGGCAGGCCAGUGCUCCUGCUGCCCAUGCCCCAUGCGCCCAUGCCAUUGGCUUCACAGCAGCCUGUACGCACAGGCACCAGUCACACAGACCGAGCCAUGAACAAAAGGCAAUGGGUUUUGCUUGCAUGCUCCUGCUUCAUCUAUUCAGAGUUGCUACAGUGAAUGCAUGGUCACGUGUCAACACAGAUUAGUGCUCCUAGCAUGCUGUGUCAACAUUUUGUUGUUUUGCUUUGGGAAGCAAAUAUUGGGAGACACUGAUCCCCAAAAGAAUAUGGGAUAUGGAAACUAGUAUACUGGUGGUAGUAGUCAAUUAUAUACUUUCUAUUAAUCAAGCUUCAUUAGAAAGCUUGUUUUUUUUGGAUUUUUAGAGAAGAAUAGGCAAAUUGACUUUCAUUCUCAUUUAUACUUUUUACAUGCAUAUUAUGGUUACCCCCACCAGUUACAUAAAGUAACCCCAUUGUUUUACUAAACAUGCAUCUGCUUAAUAUCACUUCAUUUUUCUGUGCAACAGCGACUAGUGAAGUCAUAAGACUCAAUUAUAUGUUCAGAUGUCAUUGUUCAUAUGCCAUGUUGUCUUGUUGUUUAUUUAAAGAAAGCAUAAUAUGCAUGAUUUAUUUAAAGAAAGCAUUGCUUAUUUCCUAUAACAUACAAUUAUUCAUAAUAUGCAUGUAGGCAAAUUGACUCCAGAACAUAAUUCUUCACUCUCAAUUUAUUUAAAGAAAGCAUUGCUUGAUUUCCUAUAACAUACAAUUAUAGGGAAAGCUUCAGUAAAUGAUCAGCUAGCUGGUUUAUUUUUAUUUGCUUAUUACCAUACUAAUUGCGUGUGUUUGCUGAAAAGACAGCAGCUCAUUGUGGUGAUCUUUAGUUCUUAUUAGUGUAACAAAGAAUUGUGUGUUGAGACAGGCAUACACAUGCAUACAUAGAAAAGGUUAAAAUACUCUUGUGUAGACCAAAUUAAAUGUCAAAAUUCACACACAUACCCAACCACUUUACCACAAAACGUUUGUGUUUGUUUCCUCUUGAAAAAGUACAGUCUUGGUGUCAGGUGCAUGAACAACUCCCGUGAAGGCGCCCGGGCAAAUUUUUUUGCACCACACACAGUCACACACACGGUGAAUUGGUGACGUGAUGUGAUGAGAGAGAGGGAGAGAGCGCACAUGGGAUGAAGCCCUUGGCUGGCUGGGACAGAAGGAGAUGAUGCAAGAGAAACUGAAGAUAGUAGUAGCCAUUUCCUUUAUCUCUCUUCCUUGUUACCUCACACAGACUUUCGUGGACACAUCUUGUACCAUACCAACUGGUACAGCAAGAAGGAGCAACCCCAAAGACCAUCACCACCUCGCAGCAGCUAGAUCUGCUUCUACACAAGCAAAGAUACAAAAGGGAAAGAGGGAGAAAGGGAACCCAAGGGUAGAGACCAUCACCACCUCGCAGCAGCUAGAUGCCUUAUAUUUUGUGUGCAAAUAUGCUUAUAUUUCAUACCAUGAGGUGUGUGAGAUCUAAAGCUCUUGCAUGCACCUCCCUUCUCUCUCUACAGCUCUGUCACACACAUGAGGAAGCCAGGGAGCUAGCAGAGUGAGAAAGGAAAGGGCAUAACUACAGCAAGAAAAAGAGCAGGACCACCAUGGCCAAAGAGGCUCAGCUCUCUCUCUCUCUCUCUCUCUCUCUCUCUCACACACACACACACACACACACACACACACACACACACACACACACACACACACACACACACACACACACACACAAGGUCGAAAGGCUGAGGACAUACUACACAUACAGCAAGCUCUGUCCUAGAUCUAUCUAAACAUCUAGCUCACCUCACCUCGCCUCACAGGAGCAGAGGGGAAUGAAAAUACAGAGAAAGAAGCUGUUGUAAUUUCCUUUCCCCUUGUUGCUCUUCUCAGGAAUACCAAAAUAAACAAGACAGCAGUUGAUAACAGAAUGAAGUAACAACAAAAGAUGCAGCUCCCAUUUGACCCUCCCCACACUUUUGCCAAGAGAAAGCUAGGAGCAAACUUGCUCCAAUUCGGACAGUGCAAGAAACUGAAAACAGAAAAGAAGCAGCAUGCGUGGUGUGUAGGAUCUAAGAUUUACAUAUAUGUAUAUGUGUGUGUGUAUACACAUAUACAUACAUACAUACAUACAUAUAUGCAUACGCAUAGCCUUUUGUUUACUGUUCUAAAUAUGCAUAUGUAUAUAUAUGUGCGCUGAGGAGUUGAGAUCGAUGGCAUUUGCAUCACCUGUUGUUGGCGUACUCGUAGAGGCGGCCGCGGCUGGAGAAGACGAUGAGCGCGACCUCGGCGUCGCAGAGCACGGAGAGCUCGUACGCCUUCUUGAGGAGGCCGUUGCGGCGCUUGCAGAAGGUGACCUGCCGGUUGGUCGUGUUCUCGAUGCGCUUGAUCUCGAUCUUGCCCCUCCCCGGCUUGUCGCCGGAGCCGGUCGGCGCCGGCGGCUGCUCAGUCACCGUGGACGGCCCGCAGCUCAGAUCAGUCUGAACAGGAACCGAAUCAACAAGCGGUGCAAGAAAUAAUAUACACAGGAUAUUAAUGACCUGCUCUACGAAAUCAAAUAAAGAAUUUCCUAAGAGAGAGCAGGCAUGCAUGCAGGUAGCUGUGAUCUGUCUCUGUAUCAAAUUUCAGAAGGAAGUAGCUGCAUACAUGAUCCAUUUCCUAUCUUGCACUUUGCCUUUUGUGGUGUGCCUUUUUUCCCCCAAAAAAAUUAGAGACCAUAGGCAGCAGCCAUGUAUGUUCCUCUUGUUGCCUCUCUAGCUAGAUUCUUACAACAUAGCAACCAAGAUUCUACUACACCUAUACUGCUAUACAGAUGAUGCAAAGAGAGAAAGGAAGCUAGCUGAGUUAUUAACUUCCAGGAGCAAGACAAGAGAUAAUUACCAUCAUGUUGAGCAUGGAUGGUGUGGCAGUGCCUCUUUGGGCUCUCUCUGGAGGAAGAGAUCCAGAGAGGGAAACAAGAGGAUGUGAGAGGAGGAGCAGGGGGAGAGGAAGAAGAGGGAUGGGGUAUUAAAGAGAGAGAGAGGUGAUGGGAGAAGAGAGGAAGGGGAAGGUAUGUGAGGUGAUGCAGUUAGGAGCAGCUGUAUGUAGUGGCCAAUUGCUAUGGCCUUUGUUGCAUUGUUCCCCCCUUCUGUCUUGCAGAGAUCCCUUUUUUUAUUUACCAAUGCUUUGAUCUCUCUUGUGGCUGCUGUCAGGUCUCCACAUAUAUCCUUCCAUCUACCUCAGCAGUCAGCAUGUAUGCCUGUAACUGGAUCCGUGUAACUUGAGGGAAUUGCUUUGUUUGUAUUGGUACACAGUUACCACAAAAAUCGUUAUGGCGCAGCAAGGCUAUUUCUUGCUUUGCUCUUUCCGGGUUGCACUUUUACCAAGCUGAGUGAAAGAGUACGCUAGUACUACUUAUAGGCAGGCUCUACUUGUGACAAUGCUAGUUCAUGUUAAGCUAACCUUGUAUUACACACAGCUCAUCAUUGUGUCUUGGAAGAAUUAGUUUGCAAUUGUUUCUGAAAUAUUUUUUCCAGAACACAUUACUGUUAUCUGUUUCAAUUCUUUCGCUGGUUAAUUGAUUAAUUAGCAUGACGAUGCAAUGGAUUUUAUCAUCUAACAAGAAGUUGCAGUUUUUUACAAGGAAAUUAAUAAAUUUGAGCUACUAAUCCAAAUUAAACAUAUAAAUGAUUUCUUUUUGCGAGUGAUUAACAUGUUAAUUUGUGCACGCAUUGUUAUCGAUCCCUUAAUUCAUAUUUUACCAUCAGUUUUUUUUUGCACAGUUUGUGAUCAGAUAUCAGAGCUGAAGGUGCAACAAGGCAUACGAGAGAGACAUUGUUUGCUUAUGCCCCCUGUUCCCAUGUGACAUCGCACAAACACUGUCCCAUUUCUGUUUGGAACAUAUGCGUAUAGUGAAUAUAUGAUGCAGGGAUAAUGGCCAAGUACUCUCCAGCGGCGACAUCCUAUUUAUUUCAGCUCCCAUUUCUGUUGCUCUCAUGGCCUCAUGGGAUGGGACCCUUGCUGUUAGCCCAACCCCUGGCCCUCCUCACAUAUAAUGUGGUGGAUGCAUCGCCCUCUUGGCCUCUUCCUUGCCCACCGCCCUCUCCCACUCACCCGGCUAUCUCCAUCAGUGACCUGGGGCCAGUGAUACAUGGAUAACCAUCGCACUUCGACGACCGUCAGACUCAGAUCGAUCAUCAACCUUGCUACCUGUCGAAAUUCCAGUGCAAUUUGCGCAAACGUCGCGCCACUUUCGGUCCGGUGGAAGCACUUCCUCGACAUGUCAUUGUGAAGUUACCACCCAAUGGGCUGCCCCUAAUCCAUGUAUAUCAGCAGUCAGUCUGAAGAUAGGUUGGUGGCAUGGAUACAUCAGAGUUGGGAGCAUGAUCCCAUUGCAAACUUGUAGCCUGGGCUGGGCUAGCUGCAGGGUGCAAACUUGUAGCCUGGGUUGGGCAGUUCGGUGCAAAUUAAAGUUUAACUGCUAAGGAACUUGCAGAACUUCUUCCUCUCAGAAUGGAGCAAGAAAGUUCAAAAUUUGUUGGAAAGAUAUGUUCUUUUCCGGGUUUUUAAAAUCAGCCUCCUUAUAACAUUACUAUCAGCUGCCUGACUUUUAUGGGCUCGCCUUUCCUGUGUAUGCAGAAGGAGAAAAGACAUGAGGAGUUUCAGAAGUGGCCAUAGUUAUUCAGCGAGAUGCAGGUGGUUGUUUUGUUUCUGCAAGAAUUGUUGCCACGGUCUCAAGCCACUGGACCCUUGUUGCUGAGUAUUGCAACUAGCCAUGCAUGCAUGACACCAAAGUUCUGCACCUGAAAAGAAGAAGAAACAAGCAAUGGUACAGCGUUUCAAAGAGAUGGGUAGUAUAUUGGUACCUACUACCUACUAGUAACUAGUAUAUUUGAAAACCACCUGGAAUUAGUUGGAAUCGCAAGAACUAAACAAAAAUCAUCAUAUUAGGACAGAGACAAGAACCAGAAAACGAGAAGAGAAAUAAAUAAAUAAAUAAAUAAAUUUACGUGGCAUCAAAUCGACAAGCUUGCAAGAUGUGAUCAAAUCUGAAAAGUUUGUCGUUCUAUAUUGGGUAAUUGCCAGAAGGACCGAAAAGUACAGCUGAUUGAACCAUGGUGAUGUGAAACCAAAACGUCCAAUCAAAAACUGCACACCGAGGGGUGGUUGACCUUUGCACACAUGGUAUUAAAUAACAGGUGCAUGCCUUGACACAACUUGCCAUCCAUCCAUGUGUUCCACCAACCAAUCAAAAGUUCUUGGAUUAUAGCAUUGUAAUUCUACUUAUUAUGCACUAUUGAAAAUUUAACUUGACUAAGACUGAACAAACCACCGACUAGAUGAUGCUGUGGCACCGAAAAUGACGGCUCAUUCGAUAAUCUCAGAUUUAAUUAUGUGGGCAAACCGUGCUGGAAGCAUGAUCAGGAGUCCAUUUCAGUAUCAACAAUGGAUAGAUGUUUGCAUUGUGGACUUGUGGUUCCAAAGAUAUCAGAAUCUGCCAAUUUUUGGACCAUGAACAUUUUUGGCUUUCUGAACUGCUUGUUGGACCAAUCAAAACCAAUAAAAAAGCGAGUUCUGAGCACCCUACGUCACCCCCGCGUGGGCGACUCCGGCGGGCACCGAAACCCCCGCUGCCGCCCCUCCACCGAUGGCUGCCCUUGCCGCGCCGCCGCCUGAGCGGCAACACCCAUGUGGCUCGCGAUGAGGGUGGCGGCGGUGCCCCUUCCCCUUCCUCUGGCGGAUCUAGGCGAGCGCGGACGCCAAUGCCGCCUAAGGGGGCUCGCCGGCAUGGGCGGCACCCUGCGGCGAUGGAGGCCGGGCAGCCACGGAUCUGGCACGGCGCCGGCCGGAUCCGGUGGCUGUGCGACCGGUGUGUCCCCGAGGCGGUGGCGGCGGCGGCCAGCAGCGGUUGGGCGUGGCGGUCGUGGAUGCCGCGUGAGUAGGGCGACGGCCGGUGUGGGUGUUACGGACCGUGCGGCGUCGGUCCGGAUAGGGGCGAGUGAAGAGUUGGUUGCGGCAGGCGCAACCCCGUGCAUCCCCGAGGCGGUGGAGGUGUCGGCCGAUAUCAAUUUGGCAGGGUGGUCGUGCACGGUGCGUGUGGAGGGCGACGGCCGGCGUGGGUGUGACGCCCCGUGCGGCGCUAGCCCGGCCAAGGGUGACGGGACCUCACGGUGGCGACUCCGGCCCGGCGAGGGGCAUGGAGACUGUGCGCUGCGUCGGUCGCGGCAGGCGCAGCCUAUGGACCCGGCGGGCCUUGACGGUUGGCGAGCGCGGGGCGCAAGCGACCGGGAUGCGGCGGCGGAGACGGCCUGGUGGCAGUGGCGCAAGGGGCGCCUCGGCGGUCCUGGGCCGCUGCGGGCGGUGAUGACCGCACGCGGCAGCUGCCGCACACGCGCCAAUGAUGCGGUGAGGCAUCAUGGUGGGGCAGCCAAAGGUGGUCUACGCGCGGCAAGAGGAGGCAUGACAGUGGCCCCGCACCCGGGUGGACUUUCAUGAUUGCCGUCUAGGGACUGUUGUGUUGUGUAUGUGCAGUGGCUAGGGAUGGGAUGCUCUGGGUGAAAGCUUUUGCUGGCGAUCUUGCUGGUGGCGAUGGCAGCGGCACCCUAGGACAUCGUUCUCCCUAUUGGGGGCGUCAUCUUGGAGCUCCAUCCCUAUUGCACAGGGUUCUCUGGGUGAAAACUCUGUCCAGAUGCUGGAUGAGCGACGGCGGCACCACUGGCGUCGUCCCCUCCUUGGAGGCAUCGUCUCUAGAGACCCAACUCAGCUUGUGGCACUGCUGGUGGUGUGUUGAUCAUGGGAGGCUGCAGCCGGUGGCGGCGUGGCAAGGUGGCAUGGUGCUGGAUGGAAAGUUUUGACGGGGGUUGCUGAGCUCACGUGAAGGUGAAGGCGAUCGCAGGUCUAGUGGCGGCUAGGGGUUGUCACUUUGUUGUCGGGCUGGCUGCUUGCAAUGGCUAGGGGUUUCAUGUCUGUACAGGGUCAUGCCUGGAGGUUUCGGCGACUACAUGAGAGUGCGAAUAUUGGUGGAUGUCGCGUUUAGGCUUCAGUUCAGCUGCCGUUGUUGAGUGGAGUGGUGCAGCUGUGUUGAUGUCUCAAUCCAACCGGUCGGUUUUGGUGUUUUCGAGCUGAGUGGCUACCGCGUCGAUAUCCCAAUCCAACCGGACGAGUAUAGAUUGUUUUUCUUUCUUAUUUUCUUUUGCUUUCCUGCCUAUGGCCUCCCAGGGUUGUAGACUUGUAUUUUUUCUGCUAUAUCAAUGAAACUCGCACUAUCUUGUGCAGUUCGUUAAAGAAAAACAAAAAAACAAAUAGUUUCCUGCAAUAAUACACGAAUUGCAUCAAUCCAUGGUCAGGACGUUGUAGGUAGCGUACGUGUGCUGAGACACGUAUUCUCAUGGACGACGAUGUACUCAUGUAGUCGUGUGCGAUGCAUCAUCAUUCAAGUCUGUGAAAAGCCAACAGGUGCAGGGUUUUGAUCGAGUCCCACUGCACUAGCAGCUAGAAGGACUUCUUGCUGGGGGCUCACCACUGCUGCAGCUAGCUUUCGGCCAAUUAUUAGACCACUGUGGCAGCCUCCAGUGAUCCAGCAGGCACAUUCUAGUGUUGUUCGGAUGGGAAUGCAGGAGCAGUUCCCAUCUGGAAAGGCAUGGGGUUUACUGCAAGCAUCAGAAAUCAUUGCGGUUGGUACUCAUGCCUGACUGCAGCACUGAGCCUUGUUUUGGAUGGUGAAGCACACUACUCACCAGAUUUAAUUUCAGACAAGUUUAUACAUGAUAAUUCUGUAAAGUAGACCAGAUAUACGUUGGAUUGAUAUUGACUGCAAAUUUACAGUUUGUCAGUUUUGCAAAAUAUCUUUGCAGCAGGUGCUUAAUUAAGCAUCAAUUUGUUUCUAAAGUGAAAGUACAUGUCCUAGUAGGAUACAGCACAAUAUCAUGUGCAUUCAUAUGAAUGUUCCUGACGAAUUCAAGGAGCCAGAGAUGGACAGAGCACAAGUAUACUGACAUGACAUAUCAAGGACAUACAGAGUGCAGUUGCUGCGUGCUCAGGAACUCAAGGGAGGUUCAGAGAACUUUAACCAUCCGACUUCAUCUUCUCAGCAGGCACACACCCACAUAACCAAAGCUUUACUGGUUGGAAAAGGAGAGGUGAGUACACAUGCAAUGCAUCGAUCACAGGCACACAGCAAAUGAA